UAAAACACUCUUCUCUCUACUGCUUUUUUUCAUUUCUUUUUAUUUGCAAAGAGAUAAUGAAAACAAAUUAAGUUUUGAUAAGAGUUGAAAGAAAAUUAUAAACCUUCACUUAUAGAAAUAUUCAAGUAAGAAUCUCAAGAAAAGUGGUGAAUUAAAGUUGAUCCAUGAGUUAUGGUGGAGCUUCAUAUCUAGUUUUUAUGGUUGAAAGUGUGAACUAGAUAGAAACCUCGUCGAGAGAGGCAGAUCGUUCUCAUGUAGCGUAAGUUGAAUGUGUUUGAAGCUUGCUAAGGCUGAACGCCCCCAGGUUGUUAGGAAUCGUGAUAAUUAGGGUAUCCAGGUGUCGUGAAGACUUGCAAGAUGUGUAUGUCUUUGGAGAUCGAAAUCAUCAAGACUCAAUGGCAUAGUGAGUCAUUUGUACUAAGUCAUCCUUGGCUUUCAAUUCAAGGUCAACUUAGGGGUUGUUGUUGACGUCAUUGUUUGCUCUUCCUUACUGUUUUCUCUGUAACUUGUAUUGUGAAAAACCCUGUUUAUUUAUUUGUUAAAAUAAAUAUUGUCAUUAUGUUCUUUUUGACAAUAUGUUUGAUUUGUGUUCUUAAACCUUUAAUUGAGAAAAAAAUUUAUAAAAGAGGCCUUGUGUUAUGAUCAUUGUCUUA